rnacentral:misc_RNA from 1 species
GAUGAAGAACGCAGCGAAAUGCGAUAAGUAAUGUGAAUUGCAGAAUUCAGUGAAUCAUCGAAUCUUUGAACGCACAUUGCGCCCAUUAGCAUUCUAGUGGGCAUGCCUGUUCGAGCGUCAUUUCAACCCUUAAGCCCUGUUGCUUAGCGUUGGGAGCCUACAGUACUGUAGCUCCCCAAAGUUAGUGGCGGAGUCGGUUUCACACUCUAGACGUAGUAAUUUUUUCUCGUCUGUAGUUGAGCCGGUCCCCUGCCGUAAAACACCCAAUUUAUCAAGGUUGACCUCGGAUCAGGUAGGAAUACCCGCUGAACUUAAGCAUAUAAUAAGCGGAGGA